GACGAACGCUGGCGGCGUGCUUAACACAUGCAAGUCGAACGGAAAGGCCCUGCCUUUGUGGGGUGCUCGAGUGGCGAACGGGUGAGUAACACGUGAGUAACCUGCCCUUGACUUUGGGAUAACUUCAGGAAACUGGGGCUAAUACCGGAUAGGAGCUCCUGCUGCAUGGUGGGGGUUGGAAAGUUUCGGCGGUUGGGGAUGGACUCGCGGCUUAUCAGCUUGUUGGUGGGGUAGUGGCUUACCAAGGCUUUGACGGGUAGCCGGCCUGAGAGGGUGACCGGCCACAUUGGGCCUGAGAUGCGGCCCAGCCUCCUCCGGGAGGCAGCGGUGGGGAAUAUUGCACAAUGGGCGGAACCCUGAUGCAGCAACGCCGCGUGCGGGAUGACGGCCUUCGGGUUGUAAACCGCUUUCGCCUGUGACGAGGCGUGAGUGACGGUAAUGGGUAAAGAAGCACCGGCUAACUACGUG
rnacentral:rRNA from 1 species